CAGUAGCCGCGGUAAUACGAAGGGUGCAAGCGUUAAUCGGAAUUACUGGGCGUAAAGCGUGCGUAGGCGGUUUGUUAAGUCUGUUGUGAAAUCCCCGGGCUCAACCUGGGAAUGGCAGUGGAUACUGGCUCGCUAGAGUGUGUCAGAGGAUGGUGGAAUUCCCGGUGUAGCGGUGAAAUGCGUAGAGAUCGGGAGGAACAUCAGUGGCGAAGGCGGCCAUCUGGGACAACACUGACGCUGAGGCACAAAAGCGUGGGGAGCAAACAGGAUUAGAUACCCCCGUAGUCCCUGUCUCUUAUAC
rnacentral:rRNA from 1 species